ACAGCAGCCGCCGCGGUAAUACGAAGGGUGCAAGCGUUAAUCGGAAUUACUGGGCGUAAAGCGUGCGUAGGCGGUUUGUUAAGUCUGUUGUGAAAUCCCCGGGCUCAACCUGGGAAUGGCAAUGGAUACUGGCAAGCUAGAGUGUGUCAGAGGAUGGUGGAAUUCCCGGUGUAGCGGUGAAAUGCGUAGAGAUCGGGAGGAACAUCAGUGGCGAAGGCGGCCAUCUGGGACAACACUGACGCUGAGGCACGAAAGCGUGGGGAGCAAACAGGAUUAGAGACCCGCGUAGUCCCUGUCUCUUAUAC
rnacentral:rRNA from 1 species